rnacentral:lncRNA from 1 species
CUCUCUCUCUCUCUCUCGCCUUCUCCUCUCUCUCUCAUCCGCGCUCUUCCAUUAAAGCCUACAUCCACUGCUUGCCUAGCAAAUGAUAUUUCCAUUCUUCUGCUCCCUAAUCUUCACUCUUUUUUACGAAGUCCUCAUUAAUAAGUAUUUCUCUCUCUCUCUCAUCAAACAUCCCUCAUCCAUGCUUGCCCAGUAAAUGAUAUUUCCGUUCUUCUGUUCCUAAUCUACACUCAUCUCCACAAAGUUUUAUAACUCUCUCUCGUUCUAAAUAUACAUGCAAGCCAGUGGCCUAUUUGUUAAGCUUCUCUUCUUGUCUCCCUGUCGUAGUUAUGUACAUAUUAUGCGGCAGUUUUUUCCUUAUUUUCAAUAUGGG